rnacentral:tRNA from 1 species
GGGAUGUAGCUUAGUGGUGGAGUGCAUGCUUAAGCAGCAUUCAUUUGGCCCUGGAUUCAAUCCCCGGCACUCCCC